UAAUGACCGAGUAUCUAGUUCAGGGUGGGCAUUAGGCUAACUUCAUACCUCAUUUGAUGUGAGGUCUGUUGAUGUGAUCAAUUGCUUGAGUGAAGUCGCCAGAGUCUUUCAUCAGGCAUCUGCUCACAGAAGGAGGCUUUUCAUUAUGGACACUUGGUUCAUACCUGCACAUCAGAGCACAGGCCCUCUGCCCCUCUCCAACCCACCUUGGGUCAGCCAGAACCAGGGGCCAGUGCUGCCCUUUGUUGCAGGUUAUUCAGCAGCUGCUUCAACCCACUGACAAUAUUCAUUCCACGCCUUCUUCCAUUGUCUGAUGCCCCUGUUCUCUGCCCCUGAUGCCUCUAUUCUCUA